rnacentral:rRNA from 1 species
UACGUAGGGUGCAAGCGUUUAAUCGGAAUUACUGGGCGUAAAGCGUGCGCAGGCGGUUUUGUAAGUCUGUCGUGAAAGCCCCGGGCUCAACCUGGGAAUUGCGAUGGAGACUGCAAGGCUUGAAUCUGGCAGAGGGGGGGUAGAAUUCCACGUGUAGCAGUGAAAUGCGUAGAGAUGGUGGAGGAACACCGAUGGCGAAGGCAGCCCCCUGGGUCAAGAUUGACGCUCAUGCACGAAAGCGUGGGGAGCAAACGGG